GACGAACGCUGGCGGCGUGCUUAACACAUGCCAGUCGAGCGGUAAGGCUCCUUCGGGAGUCCACGAGCGGCGCACGGGUGAGUAACACGUGAGUAAUCUGCCCUUCACUUCGGGAUAACCACCGGAAACGGUGGCUAAUACCGAAUACGACCAGUCUUCGCAUGAGGUGCUGGUGGAAAGUCUUUUCGGUGAAGGAUGUGCUCGCGGCCUAUCAGCUUGUUGGUGGGGUAAUGGCCUACCAAGGCUUCGACGGGUAGCCGGCCUGAGAGGGUGACCGGCCACACUGGGACUGAGACACGGCCCAGACUCCUACGGGAGGCAGCAGUGGGGAAUAUUGGACAAUGGGCGAAAGCCUGAUCCAGCAACGCCGCGUGAGGGAUGACGGCCUUCGGGUUGUAAACCUCUUUCAGUACCGACGAAGCGCCCUGUCGGGUGGUGACGGUAGGUACAGAAGAAGGACCGGCCAACUACGUG
rnacentral:rRNA from 1 species